rnacentral:rRNA from 1 species
UACGUAGGGUGCAAGCGUUAAUCGGAAUUACUGGGCGUAAAGCGUGCGCAGGCGGUUUGUUAAGUCUGCUGUGAAAUCCCCGAGCUCAACUUGGGAAUUGCAGUGGAUACUGGCAAGCUAGAGUAUGGUAGAGGAAGGUGGAAUUCCCGGUGUAGCAGUGAAAUGCGUAGAGAUCGGGAGGAACACCAGUGGCGAAGGCGGCCUUCUGGACCAAUACUGACGCUCAUGCACGAAAGCGUGGGGAGCAAACAGG